rnacentral:sRNA from 1 species
AAAAUUUAUUUGGUAAGUGACGCAGUAUCCUAGUCAGGAUGACCUUUUUUGAAGGCGGGCCUAAAAAUCCGCCAAUGGCACAGCGAUGAAGUUCCUGGUGCUGGCUGCUGACGCCCAGUUGGGGGUUGGUACUGGGAGUUAAGGUGGGAGGGCAACCUGCAAUGGCAUGCAGACUUGACCCUGCUUCCGUGGAGACCCAAGUAUGUGGAGAGGCUGUCCCCUGUGGGGCAUGCACAAACUAUGGCUUGGGAUAUAAACCUGCAUGUGGUGAAAGCUGCGUGCAGCGUAGCCUGCCUUGAGCGGUACUGGUGAAUACUUGUUUUUCAGGAGAUAUGGCAUGGGCCCGUGCUUUAUCUCCUGGGGGUUGAAACUUUUACUGCAAAAGAGGAUAGAAAAAGGUUUUAUUCUGUUAAGGAAAACUUCUAGGCUGUCUCUUGGGUAGAACGGGGAUUAUAGUGCGGACUAAGUGGCAAUCCAGCCCCGUUUGCGGUGACGUAACGGAAACUGUUUUAAUGGGAAACCGCCGGUAUGGCGACAGCCGGCAACAGUUUGGGAAAUCCUGCUGGACCUAAGCCGCAACAUUUACUCGUUCUAUUGUCACUGACCAUUACAUAUAU